rnacentral:rRNA from 1 species
ACUAAGCGUACACGGUGGAUGCCCUGGCAGUCAGAGGCGAUGAAGGACGUGCUAAUCUGCGAUAAGCGCCGGUAAGGUGAUAUGAACCGUUAUAACCGGCGAUUUCCGAAUGGGGAAACCCAGUGUGAUUCGUCACACUAUCAUUAACUGAAUCCAUAGGUUAAUGAGGCGAACCGGGGGAACUGAAACAUCUAAGUACCCCGAGGAAAAGAAAUCAACCGAGAUUCCCCCAGUAGCGGCGAGCGAACGGGGAGGAGCCCAGAGCCUGAAUCAGCAUGUGUGUUAGUGGAAGCGUCUGGAAAGGCGCGCGAUACAGGGUGACAGCCCCGUACACAAAAGCGCAUGUGUUGUGAGCUCGAUGAGUAGGGCGGGACACGUGGUAUCCUGUCUGAAUAUGGGGGGACCAUCCUCCAAGGCUAAAUACUCCUGACUGACCGAUAGUGAACCAGUACCGUGAGGGAAAGGCGAAAAGAACCCCGGCGAGGGGAGUGAAAAAGAACCUGAAACCGUGUACGUACAAGCAGUGGGAGCUGAGGGAAAGGCGAAAAGAACCCCGGCGAGGGGAGUGAAAAAGAACCUGAAACCGUGUACGUACAAGCAGUGGGAGCCCCACCACUAAGCCAGUGGUGAACUCCACAUACGCAUCCUUUGCUGAGGAUACGGUUAACGGAGCGCAAGCGACGUUCAACCGCAAAAGAAGCAGAGGGGGCUUAGUGGUGGGGUGACUGCGUACCUUUUGUAUAAUGGGUCAGCGACUUAUAUUCUGUAGCAAGGUUAACCGUAUAGGGGAGCCGGAGGGAAACCGAGUCUUAAUUGGGCGUUAAGUUGCAGGGUAUAGACCCGAAACCCGGUGAUCUAGCCAUGGGCAGGUUGAAGGUUGGGUAACACUAACUGGAGGACCGAACCGACUAAUGUUGAAAAAUUAGCGGAUGACCUGUGGCUGGGGGUGAAAGGCCAAUCAAACCGGGAGAUAGCUGGUUCUCCCCGAAAGCUAUUUAGGUAGCGCCUCGUGAAUUCAUCUCCGGGGGUAGAGCACUGUUUCGGCUAGGGGGCCAUCCCGGCUUACCAACCCGAUGCAAACUGCGAAUACCGGAGAAUGUUAUCACGGGAGACACACGGCGGGUGCUAACGUCCGUCGUGAAGAGGGAAACAACCCAGACCGCCAGCUAAGGUCCCAAAGUCAUGGUUAAGUGGGAAACGAUGUGGGAAGGCCCAGACAGCCAGGAUGUUGGCUUAGAAGCAGCCAUCAUUUAAAGAAAGCGUAAUAGCUCACUGGUCGAGUCGGCCUGCGCGGAAGAUGUAACGGGGCUAAACCAUGCACCGAAGCUGCGGCAGCGAACGUAUCACUUAAAGCGAUUCAGCGGGUUACGAUUGACGGAGCGAAGCGACGUCAAAGCGUAUACAAAGUCGAGUCGGUUUAAGGAUACGUUCGUUGGGUAGGGGAGCGUUCUGUAAGCCUGUGAAGGUGGCCUGUGAGGGAUGCUGGAGGUAUCAGAAGUGCGAAUGCUNGUUGGGUAGGGGAGCGUUCUGUAAGCCUGUGAAGGUGGCCUGUGAGGGUUGCUGGAGGUAUCAGAAGUGCGAAUGCUGACAUAAGUAACGAUAAAGCGGGUGAAAAGCCCGCUCGCCGGAAGACCAAGGGUUCCUGUCCAACGUUAAUCGGGGCAGGGUGAGUCGACCCCUAAGGCGAGGCCGAAAGGCGUAGUCGAUGGGAAACGGGUUAAUAUUCCCGUACUUGGUGUUACUGCGAAGGGGGGACGGAGAAGGCUAUGUUGGCCGGGCGACGGUUGUCCCGGUUUAAGCGUGUAGGUGUGUGUUCCAGGUAAAUCCGGUUCACUUUAACACUGAGGCGUGAUGACGAGGCACUACGGUGCUGAAGCAACAAAUGCCCUGCUUCCAGGAAAAGCCUCUAAGCAUCAGGUAACAUCAAAUCGUACCCCAAACCGACACAGGUGGUCAGGUAGAGAAUACCAAGGCGCUUGAGAGAACUCGGGUGAAGGAACUAGGCAAAAUGGUGCCGUAACUUCGGGAGAAGGCACGCUGACAUGUAGGUGAAGUGAUUUACUCAUGGAGCUGAAGUCAGUCGAAGAUACCAGCUGGCUGCAACUGUUUAUUAAAAACACAGCACUGUGCAAACACGAAAGUGGACGUAUACGGUGUGACGCCUGCCCGGUGCCGGAAGGUUAAUUGAUGGGGUCAGCGCAAGCGAAGCUCCUGAUCGAAGCCCCGGUAAACGGCGGCCGUAACUAUAACGGUCCUAAGGUAGCGAAAUUCCUUGUCGGGUAAGUUCCGACCUGCACGAAUGGCGUAAUGAUGGCCAGGCUGUCUCCACCCGAGACUCAGUGAAAUUGAACUCGCUGUGAAGAUGCAGUGUACCCGCGGCAAGACGGAAAGACCCCGUGAACCUUUACUAUAGCUUGACACUGAACAUUGAGCCUUGAUGUGUAGGAUAGGUGGGAGGCUUUGAAGCGUGGACGCCAGUCUGCGUGGAGCCGGCCUUGAAAUACCACCCUUUAAUGUUUGAUGUUCUAACGUGGACCCGUGAUCCGGGUUGCGGACAGUGUCUGGUGGGUAGUUUGACUGGGGCGGUCUCCUCCUAAAGAGUAACGGAGGAGCACGAAGGUUGGCUAAUCCUGGUCGGACAUCAGGAGGUUAGUGCAAUGGCAUAAGCCAGCUUGACUGCGAGCGUGACGGCGCGAGCAGGUGCGAAAGCAGGUCAUAGUGAUCCGGUGGUUCUGAAUGGAAGGGCCAUCGCUCAACGGAUAAAAGGUACUCCGGGGAUAACAGGCUGAUACCGCCCAAGAGUUCAUAUCGACGGCGGUGUUUGGCACCUCGAUGUCGGCUCAUCACAUCCUGGGGCUGAAGUAGGUCCCAAGGGUAUGGCUGUUCGCCAUUUAAAGUGGUACGCGAGCUGGGUUUAGAACGUCGUGAGACAGUUCGGUCCCUAUCUGCCGUGGGCGCUGGAGAACUGAGGGGGGCUGCUCCUAGUACGAGAGGACCGGAGUGGACGCAUCACUGGUGUUCGGGUUGUCAUGCCAAUGGCACUGCCCGGUAGCUAAAUGCGGAAGAGAUAAGUGCUGAAAGCAUCUAAGCACGAAACUUGCCCCGAGAUGAGUUCUCCCUGAGACUUAAAGUCUCCUGAAGGAACGUUGAAGACGACGACGUUGAUAGGCCGGGUGUGUAAGCGCAGCGAUGCGUUGAGCUAACCGGUACUAAUGAACCGUGAGGCUUAACC